rnacentral:lncRNA from 1 species
AGUGAUGACGGGUUGUUAGCAUCAUACGCUCUGUUUUGUGUAUUUAUUUUAUAAUUAUAAGAAUAAGACAUAUAAGUGAAAUUUAUAGUUUGCUACGAAGUGGUUUUGUGUGCAACUUGUUAUAUUUCAUAAUAAGAUUUAGUUUCUAUUAAUAGAAAAACUGGUAUGUGUACCAUGGACAUGUGAAGUACUCGACAUUACGCCACCCUAUUUAAAUACAACAUUUGUGCGUGCACCGGAGCCCGUGAGGAUCUUUAGCUGCGCCGUGGAGAAAGACAGCAAACCCAGGAGACUAGUGAACCAGCACAUCAAAGAGGUUCGACAUAAUCCCGCGAAAAUCCUCCGAAUGUAUCCCCAGGCUCGUUUUUUGGAGUGCUCCAUAUUAUAUAUGAUAUAUCAUAUAUAUGGAAUAAGGCUCAGUGGAGAGCUUAUUUCAAAGCCUAAAUAUGCGAAGAAGAAAUAAAUGUGCUGUACUUACAGUGGUUGUACACCACGCAUCCAUAAAAUAAGGAUAAACUGCAAUUCUUUAGCGACGCAUAUGCAUGAUGCUGGAAUGAAGUUAGUAUCAUCAUAAUAACCAGAUGGUACGUGCUGAUGUCUUCAACAGAUCGUUAUAGGGUCAAUUUCAUAUAAACAAGCUUUAAUUAUUUAAUUUUAUUUACGAAUAGUUAUAAAAAAUACAAUUUUAGAUAAGAGCCGUUGCGUUGAUCCACUUGAAAUUUUGAUAACCAUGUAAAUAGCUUACUUAUACUUUGUUUUCCAACUUUUUUUUUAUUAUUA